UUUGAAAAAACAGUCCAUAUAAGGAACCACUUAGUGGCUUCUGAACGAUGGAAGAGUUUUUACAGACCAACAAUAAGUGUGUGUUAUCUUAUUAUAGCGAAAUAUUCGAAUUGUAUGUGCUGGCCCAAACCUGUUUGAUUCGAUUUUGCAUGUGCUUAUUAUAGUGCUCAUAGUACUUGAAUGGAUCUGCACCAUUUAUUUAUGAAUGAUAAGGUGUGGUAAGUAGGUGUUUACUAACAAUAAGUCUAAACUCAAAAAGAUUGCUUCCAAUUUUAUUAUAAUCUCAAUACAAAAUCGAAGUUUUUCACAGACCAUUACCAUGUUUAGGAUUGCCAAUCACCAAUUGAUCAACAAUUGUGAAAUAAUUUUUCCACAAAUAGUAAUGAAACACAUCUUUCAAAACUGUCCAAAAAGAACUCAGUCGCAAAUUUCUGGACUAAGAUUCUUUAUUAUAUUCCAAUGAAUACAAAUCUUCAUUAAUAAAUUGUAUAAGAUCAUCAUUUAAAAGAUAAAAUAGGAAAUUCAAUGAUCAAUUCGUUGAAGAGAUUUACAGAAAGUAAUGCUUUUCAUUGAAAAUAUACGAGAACAAACCUAACCUCCAUCUUUAGCGAACAUGGAAGGGAUAACUAAUCAAAGUAAAGGCAUCGGCCGUCAGGCAAUCAUCCUAUUGCCGUACCAUAGUAUCAUGAAUGAUGGUAAGAAAAGCUACCGAGAGCCGGUUGCCACGAGUUCCCCUGAAAUACUGUGUGCCUCUCACUCACAUGUAUUCCCACGGUCCAGUUCGCUGCGAGAAAACAAUAUGAAACGAUAUUUUCAAUCGUGGCUGUGCGGAUCACUGUCAAGACACGUGGGUCGUCUUGACGGAUGUCGUGCUGGUUGAUAUGUUUGUCAGCGGCUGGUUGACAUUUUAAUAGACUAGAGAAGGAUAAAGCACAAUUGUUACCAAUCUAAGGUAAUUCGAGAUCAGAUAGGUUAUCGAGAGAGAGACAAACGAUAUGCAUGCCACCUCUUAUCCAUGAAGCAAACGAGAAAAUGGAACAAUAUCAGAUUACGUUUGGAAGAUUCGUGGCGAAAGUUUAAGAAAUCAAAUAAUAUAUAGAAUAUUUUAUCUCUUGCUUGUAAAUCAUUAUCGUAAUAUACUUCCCCCACAAACCAGAAGUGGAAAUUAAACGAAUAAAACGGUGUGGAAUGCCAGAACGUGAUACGUUUGAAUUUUUCUUAAGGAAUUCGUCGCGCGAAACGCUGCCAAUCCAGAAAGCUUCUUAUUGCGUCUCUUGCCACUUUAAGAAGCAACUGUGAGAUAAUGACCCAAUUAGAUGUCAUUUACACGUGACUCAUAUCGUCAAUUUAUCCAUGUCCGGCUGCCAAGCAUUAAUGUUUUACGUGUGUGAUUAUCCACAUUUGGUAUAGAAAGGUAAACCGCAUCGAAUAAUGCACAGACAACGUCAAUAAACUACGUGCAAGGUUUGGUCAAGAGAAAUCGUUUGUCACAUGGCUUGUAACAACUUCUAUCGGCAGACAUUUCUAAUUUCGUAGACAAUUAUCCGUGAUGAUUACGGAUUACAAAAGGAAAAUAUAAACCUACUUUUCGCGUUUACUGUACAUUAAAGAACAACUUUCAUCAGAACUACUUGAAAUUCUGCACGUGAAGAAUUAGAAGAGGAAAUUUACGAUAAGUCGUAAGCCGUAUCUAUCUUUCGUAUAUGUCAAAAAUUUAAAAAAAAAAAAAGGAAUGUGAUGAUAGAUGACGAUUGGAAAACAGAGAAUGGUUAAAAAUGGGUUGAAAUGGAGUAGAUGUAAAAAGAGCGACUGAUAAUUGUCGACAGAGCGUCUAGCAGCGACUCGAAUCACUGAGAGGGGACGCAAAACUAGUUCGUCGCCGAAUGACGUAGUAGCUCUCAUUUUCUUGACCACCUAGUAUACACAUCCGGUCGGCUGGGCACUCUGCAACUUUCCUACUUCAUUCAUCGACGCAUUCUGUGGCCUUUGAAGGUUGCACAGGCAGAAAAGAGCGGGCACGGUCGCGCGCCGCCGAUCAGAGUCAGCCGGCGUACACGCCGACCAGUUUCAACAUAAUAAUUCCUUCUUGGAAAUACACCGUGGCUACCACUACAUUCUACAUCAUUGCGAAUACCAAUCGUAUUCGUUACAUGUGAACCUCCUCGCCAAGACUUUGCGAUGUCGUCUUCCUCCCAUACAUCGUUUUGUACCUUUUUUUACUCUACCGAGAAAUAUAUUGUCCAAGCGAUAUUACGUAGUUACGUAACCGCAAGAGUAUUAGCUCGAAAAUUUGGAAAAAUGAUUAGAAAAUUUUUUAUUUU